rnacentral:misc_RNA from 1 species
GAUGAAGAACGCAGCGAAAUGCGAUACGUAAUGUGAAUUGCAGAAUUCAGUGAAUCAUCGAAUCUUUGAACGCACAUUGCGCCCGCCAGCACUCUGGCGGGCAUGCCUGUUCGAGCGUCAUUUCAACCCUCAGAACCCCUUUGGGGGAUCUGGCGUUGGGGAUCGGCAGUCCUGCCGGCCCCGAAAUAUAGUGGCGGUCUCUCUGUGACCUUCCCUGUGUAGUAGCGAUACCUCGCAGCGGGAUAGCAGUCUGGCCACGCCGUAAAACACCCAACUUCUCAAGGUUGACCUCGAAUCAGGUAGGAAUACCCGCUGAACUUAAGCAUAUCAAUAAGCGGAGGA